UACGUAGGUGGCGAGCGUUAUCCGGAUUUAUUGGGCGUAAAGCGUGCGCAGGCGGUUUGUUAAGUCUAAAAUUAAAGUCCGAAGCUUAACUUCGGUUCGUUUUAGAAACUGGCAGGCUUGAGUAUGGUAGAGGCAAACGGAAUUUCUAGUGUAGCGGUAAAAUGCGUAGAUAUUAGAAGGAACACCAGUGGCGAAGGCGGUUUGCUGGGCCAUUACUGACGCUCAUGCACGAAAGCGUGGGGAGCAAA
rnacentral:rRNA from 1 species